rnacentral:lncRNA from 1 species
CUCAAUGAAUCUCCAGCUAGUCUCCCACCAACAAAAUACUCCAAUGAUUCAUUUGAUAGAGGUGAUAACAAAAGGAGGAGUUAUCCACAGCGUUCAAUGCAAUGUUUCGACGAUACUCAAAUUCGUACAAAGAUUCUCUCAAAGAAUCAGAACUGGAACCUAGUGAAGCUGGAUACUGGUUCUUUAAAAGGAAAAAUUGUGAAGUGAAGCGAGUGGUCAUGUGUGGAGUUCUCUUGGAUGAGUGGCUCAAAGAAUUAGCAGCAAUUACGCAAGAACAUGCUGUGAGUAUUUUUUAUCUCUCAAUAAAACAUACCUCAGGUACCUUGAUUUGUCAGCUCCUGCUUUUUUGUUGUUAGCACCAGGAAUUUUUUUGGGAAAGAUAAAUAUGUACUUGGCAACACUCUUCGGUUGCUUGAUUUUAUAUUUAGUUUAUUUCUGAAGACCUAUUUCAUUCUGUGUGCUUGGGCCAUCGAGUAAAUCAGAAAUAGUGAAGUAAAAUAAGAUUUUUUUCUCUCUCUCAGGAUUGCAAAUAAAUCCUCAUACUUCCUCAUUAAAAAAAAUCUUGACAGGUAUGUAGAUAAUUUACAUCAGAUCAACGAUUAUUUCUACACAUAUAAAUUUUAAGCUAAAGGCUGGUAAAAUGGCAGCUACCUACUUUACCUGUGUGUGUGAAUCACUAAAUGGUUUUCGUUUCGCAGAAGGGUACCAUGCAACUUCAGUGUUUUCCAACUGUGCACUUCUUCUUUCCUUAAAAAUCUGAAUAACUACGGUAGCACUCCUAACCAUGGAUCUCGGUUUGCAACGUUUUAAAUUCCCUUUUAUACUUUCUUUUUUAAAUGGAAAGUUACCCAACGUCAGUUCUUAAAAACUUCCAUAUUUUUUUUCCUUCAUGUACAGAGAAAAAUCUGUGGAAACUUUAAGGAAUGGUAUUGAUUUGUUCCCCUAUGAAAAGUAACUUUUAGGAGGUUCUAAACGUAGCAAACGAGGUACGUGAUUUGGGAGUAUCACUACCAAUAUAUGUAAAAUAAUUAAAUUCACACAAUCCUUAUCCUAUAACAGGGUUGCCAGCGACCGGGAAAACCGGGAAAGUCAGGGAAAAAAACCAACCGGGAAAAGUCAGGGAAUUCCGUUGUUGGUCCAGGAUUUUUCUGAUUUUUCGUGGAAUUAGGCGCAGGCGGUUCUAAAAAUUUAAAUAGUCGAAAAUAGCUCUCAUUUUCACUUUAACAGACUGCGUCAGAUCCAUACUUAAAAGUCAGGGAAAAAUAUUGGAAAGUCAAGGAAAAGUCAGGGAAUGGAAAAAAAUAAUUUGGCUGGCAACCCUGUAUAAAAUUAACUUUAUUUUGGUUAAAUAAUGAAAACUAUCUACUUACCUUGGCUAUUUUUAGAAUAAAAUGCAGAUGCAUUAUUUUUACAAUACUUCAAUUGCACUAAUUCCUAAUUCAAAUGCAAUCCAACUGGAUUGUAUAUUUAUGAACGAUGUAAGAGCCUAAGAAAAGAAUGGUUGUUCUGAGUAUUGAAAUCCUAAAAGUAUUUUCUACCUCCGUUUAUGAGGCCUCAAUUAAAAUCGUUGUUGUCUCUCUGAUGGAGCCUGCUUAAUAUCGGAACUCUUGAUUCUGUUUCAGAUCGCCAAAAGUUGACCUGUAGUCCGUCAAUUUCAUUUCACGUUGCAAUACUCUGUUUGUUGUUUUAACAUUGCUUUUCAAAAGCAAAAGAUUUUAUCUACGUUUUUUAGCUUGUUGUACCUUUCUCCAUCCAAUCAGCGUAAAUUCAUCGUGCUCAUGCUUUUUUAAACCAUGUUUUAAUCAUACAUUUAUUUUUAACAUGAAAUAUUUAUUCAUUAUUCUGUUUUGAGAGUGAAAAAGUUUUAAAAAUCAUUUAUAGAAGGCACUUAACUACUUUCGUUUUGUUACUACACGGUGCAUUAUGUUUUAAAAAAGCAAAAAAAAAAAUUAUUUGUUGUUAUUUUUUACUUUCAUUUUAUAAAUCAAUCGCAAAUAAGCAGUUCUUGUGGUUUUUCCUUUACAAUCUGUUCAAUGAAAGUCCUCAAUUACACUGAUGAUUCGAAGGUUCACGAAGUCAAUGAUGACAGUUAAGUUGCCAUAAUAUUAACCUUAAUAACAGUAAAUACUUGAAACUUGGUUCCCACAAUUUAAUUUGUACGCAAAAUAUCAUUGUCCUUUCAUAUGUAUUCGACAAAUGACAGCAGAAAAAAGACAACCUGGAGAAAUUCAAAUGAAGUAAAAUUAUUAUUUGGACACCAUAUUUUGUGUCAGAACGGCAUGCGAUAUAUCGCAUCAAUUGGUUCCAUUUUUUCAGCUACUCGUCAUUUUCUCCAAUUUUGAGAUCGCAAUUCUGUUGUCAGGAGACCAAAGCAUUCACUUACCAAUUUUUACAAAGAUAUUCGACGUAAUAAAGGCGUGGUUUUUUCAGAGAGAAAUAUCGCAUUCGAUACUGAUAUCGAAACUGCCCUUGAAUGCGAUAUUUUCUCUCUAAAAAAACCACGCC